GCCGGACUGAGAGGUUGAUCGGCCACAUUGGGACUGAGACACGGCCCAGACUCCUACGGGAGGCAGCAGUGGGGAAUAUUGCACAAUGGAGGAAACUCUGAUGCAGCGAUGCCGCGUGAGGGAAGAAGGUUUUAGGAUUGUAAACCUCUGUCUUCAGGGACGAAAAAAGACGGUACCUGAGGAGGAAGCUCCGGCUAACUACGUGCCAGCAGCCGCGGUAAUACGUAGGGAGCGAGCGUUGUCCGGAAUUACUGGGUGUAAAGGGAGCGUAGGCGGGAUCGCAAGUCAGAUGUGAAAACUAUGGGCUUAACCCAUAAACUGCAUUUGAAACUGUGGUUCUUGAGUGAAGUAGAGGUAAGCGGAAUUCCUAGUGUAGCGGUGAAAUGCGUAGAUAUUAGGAGGAACAUCAGUGGCGAAGGCGGCUUACUGGGCUUUAACUGACGCUGAGGCUCGAAAGCGUGGGGAGCAAACAGGAUUAGAUACCCUGGUAGUCCACGCCGUAAACGAUGAUUACUAGGUGUGGGGGGACUGACCCCUUCCGUGCCGCAGCAAACGCAAUAAGUAAUCCACCUGGGGAGUACGACCGCAAGGUUGAAACUCAAAGGAAUUGACGGGGGCCCGCACAAGCAGUGGAGUAUGUGGAUUAAUUCGAAGCAACGCGAAGAACCUUACCAGGUCUUGACAUCGUAUGCAUAGCUCAGAGAUGAGUGAAAUCUCUUCGGAGACAUAUAGACAGGUGGUGCAUGGUUGUCGUCAGCUCGUGUCGUGAGAUGUUGGGUUAAGUCCCGCAACGAGCGCAACCCUUACUGU
rnacentral:rRNA from 1 species